UACGGAGGAUCCAAGCGUUAUCCGGAUUUAUUGGGUUUAAAGGGUGCGUAGGCGGUUUUAUAAGUUAGAGGUGAAAUCUCGGGGCUCAACUCCGAAAUUGCCUCUAAUACUGUAGGACUAGAGAGUAGUUGCGGUAGGCGGAAUGUAUGGUGUAGCGGUGAAAUGCAUAGAUAUCAGGAGGAACACCGGUGGCGAAGGCGGCCUGCUGGACUGUAACUGACACUGAGGCUCGAAAGCGUGGGGAGCAAACAGG
rnacentral:rRNA from 1 species